rnacentral:tRNA from 1 species
GCCCUUGUAGUUCAAUGGAUAGAACAGCCCCGUCCUAAGGGGUAAAUGCGGGUUCGAUUCCUGCCGGGGGCACCA